rnacentral:rRNA from 1 species
GGGAAUGCAGCUCUAAACGGGUGGUAAACUCCAUCUAAGGCUAAAUACUGGCGAGAGA